rnacentral:rRNA from 1 species
UUAAAUUGAAGAGUUUGAUCAUGGCUCAGAUUGAACGCUGGCGGCAGGCCUAACACAUGCAAGUCGAACGGUAACAGGAAGCAGCUUGCUGCUUCGCUGACGAGUGGCGGACGGGUGAGUAAUGUCUGGGAAACUGCCUGAUGGAGGGGGAUAACUACUGGAAACGGUAGCUAAUACCGCAUAACGUCGCAAGACCAAAGAGGGGGACCUUCGGGCCUCUUACCAUCGGAUGUGCCCAGAUGGGAUUAGCUAGUAGGUGGGGUAACGGCUCACCUAGGCGACGAUCCCUAGCUGGUCUGAGAGGAUGACCAGCCACACUGGAACUGAGACACGGUCCAGACUCCUACGGGAGGCAGCAGUGGGGAAUAUUGCACAAUGGGCGCAAGCCUGAUGCAGCCAUGCCGCGUGUAUGAAGAAGGCCUUCGGGUUGUAAAGUACUUUCAGCGGGGAGGAAGGCGAUAAGGUUAAUAACCUUGUCGAUUGACGUUACCCGCAGAAGAAGCACCGGCUAACUCCGUGCCAGCAGCCGCGGUAAUACGGAGGGUGCAAGCGUUAAUCGGAAUUACUGGGCGUAAAGCGCACGCAGGCGGUCUGUCAAGUCGGAUGUGAAAUCCCCGGGCUCAACCUGGGAACUGCAUUCGAAACUGGCAGGCUAGAGUCUUGUAGAGGGGGGUAGAAUUCCAGGUGUAGCGGUGAAAUGCGUAGAGAUCUGGAGGAAUACCGGUGGCGAAGGCGGCCCCCUGGACAAAGACUGACGCUCAGGUGCGAAAGCGUGGGGAGCAAACAGGAUUAGAUACCCUGGUAGUCCACGCCGUAAACGAUGUCGACUUGGAGGUUGUGCCCUUGAGGCGUGGCUUCCGGAGCUAACGCGUUAAGUCGACCGCCUGGGGAGUACGGCCGCAAGGUUAAAACUCAAAUGAAUUGACGGGGGCCCGCACAAGCGGUGGAGCAUGUGGUUUAAUUCGAUGCAACGCGAAGAACCUUACCUACUCUUGACAUCCAGAGAACUUUCCAGAGAUGGAUUGGUGCCUUCGGGAACUCUGAGACAGGUGCUGCAUGGCUGUCGUCAGCUCGUGUUGUGAAAUGUUGGGUUAAGUCCCGCAACGAGCGCAACCCUUAUCCUUUGUUGCCAGCGGUCCGGCCGGGAACUCAAAGGAGACUGCCAGUGAUAAACUGGAGGAAGGUGGGGAUGACGUCAAGUCAUCAUGGCCCUUACGAGUAGGGCUACACACGUGCUACAAUGGCGCAUACAAAGAGAAGCGACCUCGCGAGAGCAAGCGGACCUCAUAAAGUGCGUCGUAGUCCGGAUUGGAGUCUGCAACUCGACUCCAUGAAGUCGGAAUCGCUAGUAAUCGUGGAUCAGAAUGCCACGGUGAAUACGUUCCCGGGCCUUGUACACACCGCCCGUCACACCAUGGGAGUGGGUUGCAAAAGAAGUAGGUAGCUUAACCUUCGGGAGGGCGCUUACCACUUUGUGAUUCAUGACUGGGGUGAAGUCGUAACAAGGUAACCGUAGGGGAACCUGCGGUUGGAUCACCUCCUUACCUUAAAGAA